CCUACGGGCGGCAGCAGUGAGGAAUAUUGGUCAAUGGACGAGAGUCUGAACCAGCCAAGUAGCGUGAAGGAUGACUGCCCUAUGGGUUGUAAACUUCUUUUAUAUGGGAAUAAAAUGUUCCACGUGUGGGAUUUUGUAUGUACCAUAUGAAUAAGGAUCGGCUAACUCCGUGCCAGCAGCCGCGGUAAUACGGAGGAUCCGAGCGUUAUCCGGAUUUAUUGGGUUUAAAGGGAGCGUAGGUGGAUUGUUAAGUCAGUUGUGAAAGUUUGCGGCUCAACCGUAAAAUUGCAGUUGAAACUGGCAGUCUUGAGUACAGUAGAGGUGGGCGGAAUUCGUGGUGGAGCGGUGAAAUGCUUAGAUAUCACGAAGAACUCCGAUUGCGAAGGCAGUUCACUGGACUGCAACUGACACUGAGGCUCGAAAGUGUGGGUAUCAAACAGGAUUAGAUACCCGGGUAGUC
rnacentral:rRNA from 1 species